CAGUCGCCGCGGUAAUACGAAGGGUACAAGCGUUAAUCGGAAUUACUGGGCGUAAAGCGUGCGUAGGCGGUGAGUUAAGUCUGCUGUGAAAUCCCCGGGCUCAACCUGGGAAUGGCAGUGGAUACUGGCUCGCUAGAGUGUGUCAGAGGAUGGUGGAAUUCCCGGUGUAGCGGUGAAAUGCGUAGAGAUCGGGAGGAACAUCAGUGGCGAAGGCGGCCAUCUGGGACAACACUGACGCUGAGGCACGAAAGCGUGGGGAGCAAACAGGAUUAGAUACCCCCGUAGUCCCUGUCUCUUAUAC
rnacentral:rRNA from 1 species